rnacentral:rRNA from 1 species
AGAGUGAACGCUGGCGGCAGGCCUAACACAUGUAAGUCGAACGGCAGCACAGCGCUAGCAAUAGCGUGGGUGGCGAGUGGCGGACGGGUGAGGAAUACAUCGGAAUCUACCUUGUCGUGGGGGAUAACGUAGGGAAACUUACGCUAAUACCGCAUACGAACUAUGGUUGAAAGCGGCGGACCGCAAGGCGUCGCGCGAUUGGAUGAGCCGAUGUCCGAUUAGCUAGUUGGCGGGUAAAGGCCCACCAAGGCGACGAUCAGUAGCUGGUCUGAGAGGAUGAUCAGCCACACUGGAACUGAGACACGGUCCAGACUCCUACGGGAGGCAGCAGUGGGGAAUAUUGGACAAUGGGCGCAAGCCUGAUCCAGCCAUGCCGCGUGUGUGAAGAAGGCCGUUACGGUUGUAAAGCGUACGUUUUUGUUGGGAAGUAAAAGCACGUUAGGUUAAUACCCUGGUGUUCUGACGUACCCAAAGAAUAAGACACGGACUAACUCGCG